CCUGGCGGCAAUAGCGAGUGGGAACCACCCGAAACCAUCCCGAACUCGGUAGUGAAAACGCUCUGCGCCGAUGAUAGUGUGGGGUUUCCCCAUGCGAAAGUAGGACACCGCCAGGU
rnacentral:rRNA from 1 species